UAACUACUCCCUCCGUCCCAUAUUAAGUGACUUUCUAUUACAUGUAUCUAGACGCUUUUUAGGCAUAGAUACAUCCAUAUUUGGACAAAUUUGAGUCAUUUAAUAUGAAACGGAGGGAGUACUAG
rnacentral:pre_miRNA from 1 species